AGACAGGCUCUGUAGCUCAGUGGCAGAGCUUGUGUCCUUUAUACAAAAGGCCCCAUGUUGAAUUCCUGGCCUCUCUA